GACGAACGCUGGCGGCGUGCUUAACACAUGCAAGUUGAACGGUAAGGCCCUUCGGGGUACACGAGUGGCGAACGGGUGAGUAACACGUGGGUGAUCUGCCCUGCACUUCGGGAUAAGCCUGGGAAACUGGGUCUAAUACCGGAUAGGACCACUGCCUGCAUGGGUGGUGGUGGAAAGCUUUUGCGGUGUGGGAUGGGCCCGCGGCCUAUCAGCUUGUUGGUGGGGUGAUGGCCUACCAAGGCGACGACGGGUAGCCGGCCUGAGAGGGUGACCGGCCACACUGGGACUGGGAUACGGGCGAGACUCCUACGGGAGGCAGCAGUGGGGAAUAUUGCACAAUGGGCGCAAGCCUGAUGCAGCGACGCCGCGUGAGGGAUGACGGCCUUCGGGUUGUAAACCUCUUUCAGCACCGACGAAGCGCAAGUGACGGUAGGUGCAGAAGAAGGACCGGCCAACUACGUGCCAGCCGCCGCGGUAA
rnacentral:rRNA from 1 species